CAGCAUGGCUGACUCAGGGAUUCUGGGAGUUGAAGUCCACGAGUCAUAAAAGAGCCAAGGUUGCCUACCCCUGGUUUAAUCCGGUGCCUCCUUUUGUGGUUUUGGUUUGGAGCCAUUCCCAUUGCGAGGACGGCAGCGGGGCUAGUGCAAAAUAUGCGGAAGGCCGUCGGUUGCUCUGCCUUUAUUUGCACAUAGCUGCGGUGCAAAUAAAAGCUUGUUGGGGGAAAAAAAAAUAAAGGACUCAGCUGAAAAGGGACAAAGCUAAAGAGAUAUUUACUGUAUUUCCACUGGUGCAUGCGAACUGCUGAGAACAGUCUGAUUGCAACAGAGUAUUCCACUGCAGGAUGUGCUGCCUCUUGGCUCAUCACCCCACUUUCUGGAAUGUGCUUCCUCUUUCCUGGAAAACUGUUGCUUCACUGUAGUCCACCCAUCUCUCCUCCUCCGUCUCUUCUUUCAUAACGGGAGACC